UCAAAAACAUGUCUAUAUGAAGGUGUAUAUAGUUUGGCCUGCUCACUGAUUAAAUUAAAGAGCCGCAGUAUUUUGACUGUGCGAAGGUAGCAUAAUAAAUUGUCUUUUAAAUAAAGGCUUGAAUGAAAGGUUGGACAAAGUAUCAUCUGUUUCUUAAAUAUUUAUUGAAUUUGACUUUUAAGUGAAAAGGCUUAAAUAAAACAAAAAGACGAUAAGACCCUAUAAAUCUUUACAAUAAAUAUAUUUUAUAUUUUAGCUUAUAAGUGUAUAAGAAAUAAAAAUAUARGUUUGUUGCGCUGGGGCGGCGUAGAUAUAUAAAUAAACUGUCUAUAAUUUAAAUACAAUAAUUAUUGCUUAAUACAAAUUGAUCCUUAAAUAGAUUAAAAGAUUAAGAUACUUUAGGGAUAACAGCGUUAUUUUUUUUGAGAGUUCUUAUCGAAGAAAAAGUUUGCGACCUCGAUGUUGAAUUAAAGUAUCUCUAUGGUGUAGCCGCUAUAAGAGAGAGUCUGUUCGACUUUUAAUACUUUACGUGAUCUGA
rnacentral:rRNA from 1 species